CUGGGGCCGUCACCUUCCGUUGGACCAGAGGUUCCUUGCACUCCUGUAAACGACGAUCGUUCAAUUUUUAUACCUAUUAUGUAUCAGAGAAUGCAGAUUGGAAAUUGGAAAGAUUUUAAGGCUGAAAAUUUUUAGGAGCGUGACCCCUUUAUAUCCAGAAUUGCGAUCUGCAGACCACACAUCAAAGCGAUCAAAGGUUAUCGCACGUUAAGAACUUCUCAAUGCGCCGUACAAAAUCGAUUCGAAGUCAGCGCGCGCGAAAAUCACCGGUGAAAAUCGGUAUGCUCGACGCGCAAAGGAGACGAUAGGUCUGAAGAUAACGAGCGGCAUGCCCCAGAGGUACGAAUUUCGCGGGAAAGAGGACGCGACCACGGGGCUCCUGCAACUUUUCACGAUUAUAAUGGCAGAUGCAGGGUACGAACGAGGCCCUCCAUUUAACGUGGAGUGGUCUGACCAGUUAAUCGGUUAUUCACCGGUACACCGCGGCAUGGUACGAAGACAAACUCGAGGAUCGUGCCACGGCAUCUAUUCGACUGAUCGUAAGCGCAGGAGCCGACCACGGGGACGAGCAUGGGGGCGAGAGGGGGAGAAGAAUUUAAUGAGAUAGCGAGAGAGAAAAAUUCUGGUCGGCGGUGGAGGAGGGAGGUGCUCUUCAGCCACCUCGGCAAAGAGAGGAAGUUGGAGUGGCCACUCAGCAACAAAGGGACUAAGAGGGUGGGAAAAGCUCGAGGGACCCGUUUCCUCAUUAUAUA